rnacentral:misc_RNA from 1 species
GAAAUGCGAUAAGUAAUGUGAAUUGCAGAAUUCCGUGAAUCAUCGAAUCUUUGAACGCACAUUGCGCCCCCUGGUAUUCCGGGGGGCAUGCCUGUCCGAGCGUCAUUUCAACCCUCAAGCCCCCGGGUUUGGUGUUGGGGAUCGGGCUGCGGUUCUGCCGCGGCCCGGCCCCGAAAUCUAGUGGCGGUCUCGCUGCAGCCUCCAUUGCGUAGUAGCUAACACCUCGCAACUGGAACGCGGCGCGGCCAAGCCGUUAAACCCCCAACUUCUGAAUGUUGACCUCGGAUCAGGUAGGAAUACCCGCUGAACUUAAGC